UGUGUGUUAGUGGAAGCGUCUGGAAAGGCGCGCGAUACAGGGUGACAGCCCCGUACACAAAAAUGCACAUGCUGUGAGCUCGAUGAGUAGGGCGGGACACGUGGUAUCCUGUCUGAAUAUGGGGGGACCAUCCUCCAAGGCUAAAUACUCCUGACUGACCGAUAGUGAACCAGUACCGUGAGGGAAAGGCGAAAAGAACCCCGGCGAGGGGAGUGAAAAAGAACCUGAAACCGUGUACGUACAAGCAGUGGGAGCACGCUUAGGCG
rnacentral:rRNA from 1 species